rnacentral:rRNA from 1 species
GUUGUAUAGUCAAGUAAUUAAGUGCAUGUGGUGGAUGCCUUGGCAGUCAGAGGCGAUGAAAGACGUGAUAGCCUGCGAAAAGCUCCGGGGAGGCGGCAAAUAUCCUUUGAUCCGGAGAUGUCUGAAUGGGGGAACCCACCUACUUUAAGGUAGGUAUUGCAACAUGAAUACAUAGUGUUGCAAGGCGAACGAGGGGAAGUGAAACAUCUCAGUACCCUUAGGAAAAGAAAUCAAUUGAGAUUCCCUCAGUAGCGGCGAGCGAACGGGGAUCAGCCCAUUAAGUUAUGUGUGUUUUAGUGGAACGCUCUGGGAAGUGCGAACGUAGAGGGUGAUAUUCCCGUACACGAAAGGGCACACAUAAUGAUGACGAGUAGGGCGAGGCACGUGAAACCUUGUCUGAAUAUGGGGGACCAUCCUCCAAGGCUAAAUACUCCUGACUGACCGAUAGUGAACCAGUACCGUGAGGGAAAGGCGAAAAGAACCCCUGUGAGGGGAGUGAAAUAGAUCCUGAAACCGCAUGCAUACAAGCAGUGGGAGCACCUUCGUGGUGUGACUGCGUACCUUUGUAUAAUGGGUCAGCGACUUAUAUUCAGUAGCGAGGUUAACCGUAUAGGGGAGCCGUAGAGAAAUCGAGUCUUAAUAGGGCGUUUAGUUGCUGGGUAUAGACCCGAAACCAGGCGAUCUAUCCAUGAGCAGGUUGAAGGUUGGGUAACACUAACUGGAGGACCGAACCCACUGUCGUUGAAAAGCCAGGGGAUGACUUGUGGAUAGGGGUGAAAGGCUAAUCAAGCCUGGUGAUAGCUGGUUCUCCCCGAAAGCUAUUUAGGUAGCGCCUCGGACGAAUACCAUAGGGGGUAGAGCACUGUUUCGGCUAGGGGUCAUCCCGACUUACCAAACCGAUGCAAACUCCGAAUACCUAUGAGUACUAUCCGGGAGACAGACUGCGGGUGCUAACGUCCGUAGUCAAGAGGAAAACAAUCCAGACCGCCAGCUAAGGCCCCAAAAUCAUAGUUAAGUGGGAAACGAUGUGGGAAGGCAUAGACAGCUAGGAGGUUGGCUUAGAAGCAGCCACCCUUUAAAGAAAGCGUAAUAGCUCACUAGUCGAGUCGGCCUGCGCGGAAGAUGUAACGGGGCUAAAACUAUGUGCCGAAGCUGCGGAUGUAUACUUUGUAUACGUGGUAGGGGAGCGUUCUGUAAGCCGAUGAAGGUGUGUUGAGAAGCAUGCUGGAGGUAUCAGAAGUGCGAAUGCUGACGUGAGUAACGACAAAACGGGUGAAAAACCCGUUCGCCGAAAGACCAAGGGUUCCAGUCCAACGUUAAUCGGGGCUGGGUGAGUCGACCCUAAGGCGAGGCCGAAAGGCGUAGUCGAUGGGAAAAUGGUUAAUAUUCCAUUACUUCUGUGUAAUGCGAUGAGAGGACGGAGAAGGCUAAAUCAGCCUGGCGUUGGUUGUCCAGGUGAAAGGAUGUAGGCAUGUAUCUUAGGCAAAUCCGGGGUACUCUAUGCUGAGAUCUGAUAGCAAGCUGUACUUGUACAGCGAAGUGGUUGAUGCCAUGCUUCCAGGAAAAGUCUCUAAGCUUCAGUUACACAGGAAUCGUACCCGAAACCGACACAGGUGGUCAGGUCGAGUAGACCAAGGCGCUUGAGAGAACUCUGCUGAAGGAACUAGGCAAAAUGGUACCGUAACUUCGGGAGAAGGUACGCUGUUGUUGGUGAUGGAACUCGCUUCCUGAGCUGACGACAGCCGCAGAAACCAGGCCGCUGCAACUGUUUAUUAAAAACAUAGCACUCUGCAAACACGAAAGUGGACGUAUAGGGUGUGAUGCCUGCCCGGUGCUGGAAGGUUAAUUGAUGGGGUUAGCGUAAGCGAAGCUCUUGAUCGAAGCCCCAGUAAACGGCGGCCGUAACUAUAACGGUCCUAAGGUAGCGAAAUUCCUUGUCGGGUAAGUUCCGACCUGCACGAAUGGCAUAAUGAUGGCGGCGCUGUCUCCAGCAGAGGCUCAGUGAAAUCGAAAUCGCUGUGAAGAUGCAGUGUACCCGCGGCUAGACGGAAAGACCCCGUGAACCUUUACUGCAGCUUGACACUGAACUUUGACCUUACUUGUGUAGGAUAGGUGGGAGGCUUUGAAGCUGGAACGCUAGUUCCAGUGGAGCCGUCCUUGAAAUACCACCCUGGUAAUGUUGAGGUUCUAACUCUGUCCCGUGAUCCGGGACGAGGACCGUGUCUGGUGGGUAGUUUGACUGGGGCGGUCUCCUCCUAAAGAGUAACGGAGGAGUACGAAGGUGCGCUCAGCGUGGUCGGAAAUCACGCGUAGAGUAUAAAGGCAAAAGCGCGCUUAACUGCGAGACCCACAAGUCGAGCAGGUACGAAAGUAGGUCUUAGUGAUCCGGUGGUUCUGUAUGGAAGGGCCAUCGCUCAACGGAUAAAAGGUACUCUGGGGAUAACAGGCUGAUACCGCCCAAGAGUUCAUAUCGACGGCGGUGUUUGGCACCUCGAUGUCGGCUCAUCUCAUCCUGGGGCUGAAGCAGGUCCCAAGGGUAUGGCUGUUCGCCAUUUAAAGAGGUACGCGAGCUGGGUUUAGAACGUCGUGAGACAGUUCGGUCCCUAUCUACCGUGGGCGCUGGAAAUUUGAGAGGAUCUGCUCCUAGUACGAGAGGACCAGAGUGGACGAACCUCUGGUGUACCGGUUGUGACGCCAGUCGCAUCGCCGGGUAGCUAUGUUCGGAAGGGAUAACCGCUGAAAGCAUCUAAGCGGGAAGCCUACCUCAAGAUAAGAUUUCCCUAGGACUUUAUGUCCUCUAAAGAGCCGUUCGAGACUAGGACGUUGAUAGGUUGGAUGUGGAAGCAUAGUGAUAUGUGAAGCUGACCAAUACUAAUUGCUCGUGAGGCUUGACUAUACAACACCCAAGCAGUUG